UCCCCUAGUAACGGCGAGUGAAGAGGGAAAAGCCCAAAUUUGUAAUCUGGCUCUUUUUAUAAGGGUCCGAGUUGUAAUUUUGAGAACUGUUUUCCGUGCUGGACCAUGUAAAAGUCUGUUGAAAAACAGCAUCAUUGAGGGUGAAAAUCCCGUACAUGAUAUGGACUACCAGUGCAAUGUGAUACAGUCUCUAAGAGUCGAGUUGUUUGGGAAUGCAGCUCAAAGUGGGUGGUAAAUUCCAUCUAAGGCUAAAUAUAGGUGAGAGACCGAUAGCAAACAAGUACCGUGAGGGAAAGAUGAAAAGAACUUUGGAAAUAGAGUUAACAGUACGUGAAAUUGUUAAAAGGGAAACAUUUGACGUUAGACUUGUUAUUGUUAGUUCAGCUUUUAUUAUUAAAGUGUUUUCUAAUGAUUAACAGACCAGCAUCAAUCUUUGAGUGUUGGAAAAGGGUUUUGGAAAUGUGGCAACCUUGGUUGUGUUAUAGUCCAUUACUUUGAUACAGUGCUUAAGAUUGAGGAACGCGGUGAGCGCUUUAUUGUGC
rnacentral:rRNA from 1 species